UACAGAGGGUGCGAGCGUUGUUCGGAAUUACUGGGCGUAAAGGGCUCGUAGGUGGCCAACUAAGUCAGACGUGAAAUCCCCAGGCUCAACUUGGGAACUGCGUCUGAUACUGGAUGGCUUGAAUUCGGGAGAGGGAUGCAGAAUUCCAGGUGUAGCGGUGAAAUGCGUAGAUAUCUGGAGGAAUACCGGUGGCGAAGGCGGCAUCCUGGACCGAGAUUGACACUGAUGAGCGAAAGCUAGGGGAGCGAAACGGGAGUUA
rnacentral:rRNA from 1 species